CAGUAUUGUAUAGCUUUCAGCAUACAACUCCUGUAUAUGUUUUGUUAAAUUUAUACCCAAGUAUCCCCCUUUUGGGAGCAACUGUAAGUGGUACCGUAUUUUUAAUUUUGGUGUCCAUGUGUUCAUUGCUGUCACAAUGGAUUACAAUAGCUCCAUUAUGUCACAAUAGAUUUUUGUAUGUUUAUCUGGUACCCUGUGAAACAAAGUUACUCAUUAGUUCUAGAAGUUUCUUCUUUUUUUAGUAGAGUCCUAGAGAUUUUCUAUGUAGACCAUCAUGUUAUCUGCACAUUGGGGCCGUUUUUCUUUUCUUAUCUGUCUGCUUUUGAUUUCCUUUUUCUUGCCUUGUUGCACUGGCUGAAACUUUCAGAACUAUGCUGAGUAAGAGUGGUAAGUGGCAGACAGAAUCCUGAGUCUUCUGAGGUUUCAUCCCAGCUCUUAUUCCCAAAGAGUGACUCUUGUGGUGGCAUCUCAGGCCCUGAGGCCAGCCUUACUGCAGGAGGUAACUCAGAGGGCCUUCCAUUCUUGUCAAUAGAAAGCAAAUGCAGCCUUUGGAUCACAGGUUCAGGAAAAAUUGAACAUAGUCAUUCCCAUCCAACGUGGAAUAGACCCAGCAGCUCUCCAUGAGGACAGUUGGGGCUCUCAGCAGAGUGGUCCCAGGUGGCUUCUUGGAACAGAUGUUCCCGGCUCCUUCCUGCAUCGAAAACAAACAGGCGCUGUGUUGUCAUUUGCUCUCCUGGGGAAAAUCCCUCUGCUGCCGCAGAUCCUUCUUGAGAGGCUCAGGGACGUCUGUGAAGUCUCUCCAGGCUGUUCCUUGCCAGGAAUUUGCCUCCAGAUGGAUGGCAGGUCUUCCGAGGUGUGUGUGGCCCCGCACAGGCGUGGGGUGAGAAAGCACGCUUGUAACAGAAUCAGAUUCCCUCCUAGGGGAAGCAAGGGUGGGCCUGGCUCCCGUUACUGCCUUCCAAUAUUAUUUAACCUUUUGAAAAACACAAACAUCUCACCAACUUUAGUUCUGAGAGAUCCCCCAGGGGUUUGUCCUCAGUUGAAAAUCUCUUUUUGUUUUCAUUAGCCUCACCAACAAGGAAAUGUUGUUCACUCACUUUCUGAGGUCCGUGUUAUGAAAGCGAUAGGUUUUUGGUUUCCGUUUUAUGAAUAUGAAAGUCUAACAUGAAGUUGAAUGUGUCUUUAGAAAGGUGCCCAUUUCAUCGCCUUACCCCCAUUGAGAAUCAG
rnacentral:lncRNA from 1 species